GGCAGAAUUAGAUUGGCUGAUUCUUCUGCCUCCGACCCUAAAUAUUGCCUAAAAAUUCAAUAUAAUAGAUGUAAAGCCAGAAAGAGAUUUUCAUAUAGAUUUGCUCACUUCAGAUCACCGCAAUAAGAGGAAACUGAUGUGCAGUAACUCCAUUUGCUAGUUGCCUUCCAGGAACCAUGCAAAGUUCUGGCAGGCUACAUCAGGCAGCUUGCUAUGAUUUUGCAGAGCUUAUUAAACCCUUUGAUUUUGGAUAAAGCUACUAAAAGUCAAGAAUUAUGGCCAGUGAACCAGCAAGCAGGGUUAUAAGCAGAUUUAUGACACACUAUUUUUCUUAGAUUCUAUGAAAUUUAUAAGCAUUACAGUUUAAUGUUAACUGUUGGGCGGUGAUACACACACAGCCCAUUUCAGAGCCAUAUUAAGGAGACAUGCAAGGUUUAUAAAAUUUCACAGGGACACUGGUGAGGGAAUUGAAAAUCCAUAAGAAAAUAGAAUACAUACAGGUAGUGUUAUGCCCUUAUGAGAUCAUAAUAAUCAGAGCUAUAGAGCUGCUUAAAGUUUCAUGUCACUAAUGAAGCAGUAAGAAGCGUGAAAACAACUUGGUCAAAGACUUUUUGAAUGUGAAAUAACACAGGGGACCUCACAACUUAGAGAAGCUUCACAAUACAGUACUUUUGUUGUAAUAGAAGGUGGCAUGAAAAUGAAAUGCAGAAGAGAGACCAAUUCUUCGGACAAGGCAUUGUAGAAGACCCAGCAGAAGGAAAGGUGCUGCAUCAGUUACUUUUAUAUAGAGAGGUCAGAAAUAUAAAAAUGCAUUCCAGAAAUACCUACAACCUCAAGACCCUCAGAAGACAAGUAUCUACUCUCUAGUUUGUGAUUUUGACAAGAUACGGGCACAGAACUGAGACAGACUGAAGCUCAUACAAAAAAUGCCCGGUAAGCCUUAAAUCAAAGAUAAGAAUUCUGGUAUCUUUAGGAUCAGUUGGCAAUUGAGGUGGAGGUUUUCAGCACUAAAAUGUUGGAACUAUGCAUCUAAAUUCCACCUAAAUUCCACCUAAGGUACCCAAAUCCAUCGCUGGGUCUGGCUUUAAAUUCCAUUAGUUACAUGAACAGAAAGGAAGAAAAUCAAUACUUCAAUUCCAAAUGUGUCUGGAAAUAGAGUUAAUCCAUUAUAUACACAUUGUGUCAUACUGAAACAAUAUAAGAAUUCUUCUCUUACUUUGGAGAACUCACAGCUGCAAUAUUUCAACUCUACUUUGCAGGCUUUUAUCAC
rnacentral:lncRNA from 1 species